UACGUAGGUGGCAAGCGUUGUCCGGAUUUACUGGGCGUAAAGAGCGCGCAGGCGGUCAGAUAAGUCGAAUGUGAAAGCCCCCGGCUCAACUGGGGAGGGUCAUUCGAUACUGUUCGACUCGAAGGCAGGAGAGGGAAGUGGAAUUCCCGGUGUAGUGGUGAAAUGCGUAGAUAUCGGGAGGACACCAGUGGCGAAGGCGACUUCCUGGCCUGUUCUUGACGCUGAGGCGCGAAAGCUAGGGGAGCAAACGGGG
rnacentral:rRNA from 1 species